CUAAGCGUAAAGCUUGUGCUAGGAGUGGGUACGAUAAUAGUGCAACGGGUGGUGUUUGAACCGGUGACUUUCGGAUUUCAUUCCGCUCCUUUCUGUCUGUCUU